rnacentral:rRNA from 1 species
GAUGAACGCUGGCGGCGUGCCUAAUACAUGCAAGUCGAGCGAACAGACGAGGAGCUUGCUCCUCUGACGUUAGCGGCGGACGGGUGAGUAACACGUGGAUAACCUACCUAUAAGACUGGGAUAACUUCGGGAAACCGGAGCUAAUACCGGAUAAUAUAUUGAACCGCAUGGUUCAAUAGUGAAAGACGGUUUUGCUGUCACUUAUAGAUGGAUCCGCGCCGCAUUAGCUAGUUGGUAAGGUAACGGCUUACCAAGACAACGAUGCGUAGCCGACCUGAGAGGGUGAUCGGCCACACUGGAACUGAGACACGGUCCAGACUCCUACGGGAGGCAGCAGUAGGGAAUCUUCCGCAAUGGGCGAAAGCCUGACGGAGCAACGCCGCGUGAGUGAUGAAGGUCUUCGGAUCGUAAAACUCUGUUAUUAGGGAAGAACAAAUGUGUAAGUAACUAUGCACGUCUUGACGGUACCUAAUCAGAAAGCCACGGCUAUCUACGUG